GGAGUGGUAGUUCAGUUGGUUAGAAUACCUGCCUGUCACGCAGGGGUCGCGGGUUCGAGUCCCGUCCGUUCCGCCA
rnacentral:tRNA from 1 species